AUACGGAGGGUGCAAGCGUUACUCGGAAUCACUGGGCGUAAAGGACGCGUAGGCGGCUUCAUAAGUCAGGUGUGAAAGCCCACGGCUCAACCGUGGAACUGCACUUGAAACUGUGAUGCUAGAGUCUGGGAGAGGCAGACGGAAUUGGUGGUGUAGGGGUAAAAUCCGUAGAGAUCACCAGGAAUACCGAUGGCGAAGGCGAUCUGCUGGAACAGUACUGACGCUGAGGCGUGAAAGCGUGGGGAGCAAACAGGAUUAGAAACCCUAGUAGUCC
rnacentral:rRNA from 1 species